AGGGAUGUAGCUCAAUUGGUAGAGUGCUAAUCAAUGCUGAAAUAGAGGCACGGGGUUCGAUUCCUCGCGUCUCCA
rfam:Triticum urartu cultivar G1812 contig1136125, whole genome shotgun sequence.